GACGAACGCUGGCGGCGUGCUUAACACAUGCAAGUCGAACGGAAAGGCCCUGCUUGCAGGGUACUCGAGUGGCGAACGGGUGAGUAACACGUGGGUGAUCUGCCCUGCACUUCGGGAUAAGCCUGGGAAACUGGGUCUAAUAUCGGAUAGGAGCCAUUUUUAGUGUGAUGGUUGGAAAGUUUUUUCGGUGUAGGAUGAGCUCGCGGCCUAUCAGCUUGUUGGUGGGGUAAUGGCCUACCAAGGCGGCGACGGGUAGCCGGCCUGAGAGGGUGGACGGCCACAUUGGGACUGAGAUACGGCCCAGACGCCUACUGGUAGCAGCAGUGGGGAAUAUUGCACAAUGGGAGCAAGCCUGAUGCAGCGACGCCGCGUGGGGGAUGACGGCCUUCGGGUUGUAAACGCCUUUCGCUAGGGACGAAGCUGUUUGUGACGGUACCUAGAUAAGAAGCACCGGCUAACUACGUG
rnacentral:rRNA from 1 species